rnacentral:rRNA from 1 species
ACGAACGCUGGCGGCGUGGAUAAGACAUGCAAGUCGAACGGGAGAAUUGCUAGCUUGCUAAUAAUUCUCUAGUGGCGCACGGGUGAGUAACACGUGAGUAACCUGCCUCUUAGUGGGGGAUAGCCCUGGGAAACCGGGAUUAAUACCGCAUACGAUUGAAAGAUCAAAGCAGCAAUGCGCUAGGAGAUGGGCUCGCGGCCUAUUAGUUAGUUGGUGAGGUAACGGCUCACCAAGGCGAUGACGGGUAGCCGGUCUGAGAGGAUGUCCGGCCACACUGGAACUGAGACACGGUCCAGACACCUACGGGUGGCAGCAGUCGAGAAUCAUUCACAAUGGGGGCAACCCUGAUGGUGCGACGCCGCGUGGGGGAAUGAAGGUCUUCGGAUUGUAAACCCCUGUCAUGUGGGAGCAAAUUAAAAAGAUAGUACCACAAGAGGAAGAGACGGCUAACUCUGUGCCAGCAGCCGCGGUAAUACAGAGGUCUCAAGCGUUGUUCGGAAUCACUGGGCGUAAAGCGUGCGUAGGCUGUUUCGUAAGUCGUGUGUGAAAGGCAGGGGCUCAACCCCUGGAUUGCACAUGAUACUGCGAGACUAGAGUAAUGGGGGGGGAACCGGAAUUCUCGGUGUAGCAGUGAAAUGCGUAGAUAUCGAGAGGAACACUCGUGGCGAAGGCGGGUUCCUGGACAUUAACUGACGCUGAGGCACGAAGGCCAGGGGAGCGAAAGGGAUUAGAUACCCCUGUAGUCCUGGCAGUAAACGGUGCACGCUUGGUGUGCGGGGAAUCGACCCCCUGCGUGCCGGAGCUAACGCGUUAAGCGUGCCGCCUGGGGAGUACGGUCGCAAGAUUAAAACUCAAAGAAAUUGACGGGGACCCGCACAAGCGGUGGAGUAUGUGGCUUAAUUCGAUGCAACGCGAAGAACCUUACCUGGGCUUGACAUGUAAUGAACAACAUGUGAAAGCAUGCGACUCUUCGGAGGCGUUACACAGGUGCUGCAUGGCCGUCGUCAGCUCGUGUCGUGAGAUGUUUGGUUAAGUCCAGCAACGAGCGCAACCCCUGUUGCCAGUUACCAGCACGUCAAGGUGGGGACUCUGGCGAGACUGCCCAGAUCAACUGGGAGGAAGGUGGGGACGACGUCAGGUCAGUAUGGCCCUUAUGCCCAGGGCUGCACACGUACUACAAUGCCCAGUACAGAGGGGGCCGAAGCCGCGAGGCGGAGGAAAUCCUGAAAACUGGGCCCAGUUCGGACUGUAGGCUGCAACCCGCCUACACGAAGCCGGAAUCGCUAGUAAUGGCGCAUCAGCUACGGCGCCGUGAAUACGUUCCCGGGUCUUGUACACACCGCCCGUCACAUCAUGGAAGCCGGUCGCACCCGAAGUAUCUGAAGCCAACCGCAAGGAGGCAGGGUCCUAAGGUGAGACUGGUAACUGGGAUG